AAAGAAAAAUGUAAAUGAGUAGAUACUGUUUGUUUUGUUAAGAAAUUGGGUAUUCGUAUAUAAUUGAAUUUAAUUGGCCACCAUGGCUGGUUUUGGUGUGGGUGAAGGCAGAGCCUCGUAAACAGGAACACCCAUAUUUUGAGGUGACAACAACUGAGCAUUUUCCGCCAUGGAAAUGGUUUUGAUUAAGUUCAACAAGAUUCUCGCCAACUCUUCUCCAUCGCUCCAUUCGUGAAUCUCUGCCUUAAUCACAAGUGGGUUUUGGCUAAUCAAGUCCCACAGUGGAAAAUUCU
rnacentral:lncRNA from 1 species